rnacentral:rRNA from 1 species
GACAGAGGAUGCAAACGUUGCUCGGAAUUACUGGGCGUAAAGCGCAUGUAGGCGGUCCGGUAAGUCAGGUGUGAAAUCCCGGGGCUCAACCUCGGAAGGGCACAUGAUACUGCCGGACUUGAGUACUGGAGAGGAGAGUGGAAUUCCCGGUGUAGAGGUGAAAUUCGUAGAUAUCGGGAGGAACACCAGUGGCGAAGGCGACUCUCUGGACAGAUACUGACGCUGAGGCACGAAAGCCAGGGGAGCAAACGGG